GUAAAUCUUUUUUUUUUUUUGCCAACACUUGCUGUGUGGAGGCAUUUGGUAAUAAAAACUAGAUUUUGUGCAAGUCCGGUUAAUUAUCUCAAAAGUAAAGGAUAUGAUUGUUUUAUUUCCAGAGAACCAAGAAAAUUAAAAAUAAAAAAGAUACAAUUGUUCACAUACUCAUUAGUCUUUGAGGAUGUGGUCCUUGCCAUGGUCAUUUGAAACUAGAAAAUGAAGGGAUUUCAUAACUUAGUUGAAGAGUGUCACUUAAAAAUAGAGUGCGUUUUAACGCUUCAUAUCUGGCAUCAUAUGAUACUAAUUGAACAUUAUGAUAAAUUCUUUAUAUCUUUAUUCGGGAAAGUUCAUAGAACUGUAUGCUUGGAAUAAGCUUGUCCAGCUUGGAGUUAUUCUCAUCUGAAAAACCUUGAAUAACUAUUCACAGCAGUUAAAGAGGGUAGAAGUAGAUGGUUUGAACUUGUGUAUUGUUGAUCAAUAAGAUUCAUUAGUGUAGAGGUUUGAGCGUAGUGAAGUUGUAGGAGAUAAAAUAAGGUAAGAGGCAAGCCUAGGAUGACUUGCGGAAGUAGUGAGAUGAAUUUAGUGGAUCUGGAUUUUAUUUAUUCAGAACCUUUUGAGAAGUGGGCUGUGAAAAUUUCAAUUUUUGAAAAGAACAGCACGUCAAAUAGGUUAUGUGGAUUAUGUUGACAUAUGAUAAUUAGGACUGAAUAUUUAGCUGUUGCAACUGCUGGUUUUCAUGAAUUUGAUCUGCAUUAUUCAUGGAAUGAUAUUUUAUCUUAGUUGCAGAUGAGGAAAUAAUGCAUUUAUUCAAGAAUCUUUAUCCUAUCAUUUUAUGGGGAUUGCUGAAAUAGACAAAGUGUUACCUAUGUAUGACAUGGUGCCCCCCCGCCCCUCCUCCUCUCCCUUUCUCUUUCUCUCUCUAUUAUGGUAAUUCUACUACUUUUAAGAUGGCAUUUGAUUCAUGGAUUAUGUGGCACCCCUUGGUUUCACUUUUGUAGAGAUCAAAAAAGGUCUGA
rnacentral:misc_RNA from 1 species